rnacentral:rRNA from 1 species
ACCGGCGACCAUACCACGUUGAAAGCAUCGGUUUUCGUCCGAUCACCGAAGUUAAGCAACAUUGGGCCCGGUCAGUACAUAUUUCGUGGUUUCUCGUC